AUUGAACGCUGGCGGCAGGCCUAACACAUGCAAGUCGAACGGUAACAGGAAGCAGCUUGCUGCUUUGCUGACGAGUGGCGGACGGGUGAGUAAUGUCUGGGAAACUGCCUGAUGGAGGGGGAUAACUACUGGAAACGGUAGCUAAUACCGCAUAACGUCGCAAGACCAAAGAGGGGGACCUUCGGGCCUCUUGCCAUCGGAUGUGCCCAGAUGGGAUUAGCUAGUAGGUGGGGUAACGGCUCACCUAGGCGACGAUCCCUAGCUGGUCUGAGAGGAUGACCAGCCACACUGGAACUGAGACACGGUCCAGACUCCUACGGGAGGCAGCAGUGGGGAAUAUUGCACAAUGGGCGCAAGCCUGAUGCAGCCAUGCCGCGUGUAUGAAGAAGGCCUUCGGGUUGUAAAGUACUUUCAGCGGGGAGGAAGGGAGUAAAGUUAAUACCUUUGCUUAUUGACGUUACCCGCAGAAGAAGCACCGGCUAACUCCGUG
rnacentral:rRNA from 1 species